GAGUGUAUAGCUCACGUGGUAGAGCGCAUGCUUAACAUGCACAGGGUCCUGGGUUCAAUCCCCAGUAUCUCCU
rfam:Camelus ferus unplaced genomic scaffold scaffold475, whole genome shotgun sequence.